rnacentral:tRNA from 1 species
CAAAUUAGAUCUAGGAUAAAUAUUAUUUACAAUAAUAUAUUAGUUGUGCAAUUCAACAUAAUUUGA